rnacentral:rRNA from 1 species
AGUGAACGCUGGCGGUAGGCCUAACACAUGCAAGUCGAACGGCAGCACAGUAAGAGCUUGCUCUUACGGGUGGCGAGUGGCGGACGGGUGAGGAAUACAUCGGAAUCUACUUUUUCGUGGGGGAUAACGUAGGGAAACUUACGCUAAUAGCGCAUACGACCUACGGGUGAAAGCAGGGGAUCUUCGGACCUUGCGCGAUUGAAUGAGCCGAUGUCGGAUUAGCUAGUUGGCGGGGUAAAGGCCCACCAAGGCGACGAUCCGUAGCUGGUCUGAGAGGAUGAUCAGCCACACUGGAACUGGGACACGGUCCAGACUCCUACGGGAGGCAGCAGUGGGGAAUAUUGGACAAUGGGCGCAAGCCUGAUCCAGCCAUACCGCGUGGGUGAAGAAGGCCUUCGGGUUGUAAAGCCCUUUUGUUGGGAAAGAAAAGCAGCAGGUUAAUACCCCGCUGUUCUGACGGUACCCAAAGAAUAAGCACCGGCUAACUUCGUG